rnacentral:rRNA from 1 species
GAUGAACGCUGGCGGCGUGCCUAAUACAUGCAAGUCGAGCGAAAGGACGAGAAGCUUGCUUCUCUGAUGUUAGCGGCGGACGGGUGAGUAACGCGUGUAUAACCUACCUAUAAGACUGGGAUAACUUCGGGAAACCGGCGCUAAUCCCGGAUGAUAUUUUGCACCGCAUGGUUCAAAAGUGAAAGACGGUCUUGCUGUCUCUUAUCGAUGGAUCCGCGCUGCAUUAGCUAGUUGGGAAGGUAAAGGCUUACCAAGGCAACGAUGCAUAGCCGGCGUGAGAGGGGGGUCGGCCACGUCGGGAGUGAUCCACGGUCCGGGCUCGUGCGGGGGGCAGCAGUGGGGACUCUUCCGCAAGGGGCGGAGGCGUGACGGAGCAACGCCGCGUGAGUGAUGAAGGUUUGCGGAUCGUAAAACACUGUUAAUAGGGAAGAACAGAAGUGUAAGGAACUGUGCAGAGCGUGACGGUGGCUAAUCAGAAAGCCACGGCUAACUACC